AGGCAAGAAGCUUAGCUCCUUAGCAUCUUGCACACAGACAUUCCUCAUUACGCGGCUUACACGUUGCUGAUGAAUCUCACGUGGAUGCGGUCCUGGGCCAGCAGAGGCAUUUCUUUUUACAUCCACCCACACUAAGGACGGAGAAAAUUCUUGUUGCCUGGGACCCAUGCUGGUGUUCCCCUUGGAACAUCAUGGUGAAAACAGAAUGUUCCAGUGGGGGUGGGGGCUGCAACUUCCUAUUGGCUCUGCCAAUGACAUUCAUCUUCAUUCCAGGAAGAGGGCUCUACUUAUCCUCUUGCUUUCCACGUUCAACACGGAUUGCCCAAGAUACCAUCCCUAAACAGUCGUCCCAGAGAUCCCUGGGUUACAAUGUAUCAGAUUCUGGCUACCUCCCUAUAAACAAGCCAGCUGACAUUUCAGUUAUAUAUUAUCCUCUUGGGAUUCUAGUCUCUCUGUUUGUUCAUCUUUAGACUCCAUCCUCCUCGGAGCAGUCAGACAACAUGAAGUUUCUGGAAGCCAACUAAGUGAGUUUGAAUUCAGGCUCUGUCACUUUUUGCUGUGUGGCCUCGCAGGACGAUAUUCCUACUCCUUGGGGGCAGUGUAAAGACUGGGUUAGCAGUAUUUAAACUGCUUGAGGUUGACCCUGGCAUUUUGGAGUACUCUAUGAGAUGUUGGCUAUACUCUAGCAUUACUGAGCCAGGGCUGGCCCUGAAGAGGAAGAGGAACACUAGCCCGCCUAGAAGAUGCCUCUCUCCAACGUUCUGAACUAGCACUAGUAGCCAUCUAGGACAAAAUGCCCAAGAACAUCAACUAAAAGGCCACGUUUGUUUGGGUUCAUGGCUUAAGCCCACGCUCACACGGCUCCAUGGCUUCUGGACCUGUGGUUUGCAACAUCAUGCCAAGCGCCAAUGAGUCUGCGGAAGAAGACUACAGCACAUCACCAAGGACAGAACAGCUUAGAAGAGAGAAACCUUAAGUCCUUAUUUGAAUUUAGCUUGGUCCUUCAGCAGGCUGCUGCUGGCAAACUUAACUGGGCCAUUAUGGUUGUUACCAAUGGCUCUGCAUGGCCAUCCUUGCUGGAUGCCAGAAAAGGCACAGGACCUUACUUUACCCUCUCCCAAGCUCUCCCAGCCAACCUGUACAUGGCACCCAGUUUAAAGUUCUGCAUAAUCGACCAGGACGCUCUCAAGGCAGCUUCCAGAAGAGCUAUUCCUCCCUGUAUACUAAAACCUGAGUCUGUUAGUGACUUUUCUAAUUGCUGUAACUAGACAGCAUGACCAAGGCAACCUAAGAACAAAGAGUUUCUUUGUACUUAUGGUUCCAGAGGGGUGGAGUCCAUGAUGGUGUAGCAAAGACAUGGCGGUGGAAGCAACAAGCUGAGGGCUCAGCUCUUGAGCAGCAUGCAAAAAGCAAAGAGAGCACAUUAGGAAUGGUGGGAAGCAUCUGAAGUCCAAAGCCCACUCCCAGUGACACAGUUCCCCCAACAAAGCUGCAUCUCUUGAGUCUCCUCAAACACUGCCACCAACUGGAGGCCAACAUUCAAGUAGCUGAGCCCGGAGGGGUCCUGCUCAUUCAAACCACCACACUGGGGCUCAGCCCAAACCAACUUCACACCCACUGUUGCUUUGCCCGUUCUAAUGAAGGAUGAGGCAAAAAUCUUAAUAGGAUUGAAACAGAUAUUUGUGGGUUUGAAUCAUAUAUGAAAAUCUCAGUCAAAACCACAACAGUAUGGUGGCUGAGGAAUGGUACUUUUUCAGGAAAAACAACAUCCAAGCAAGGUUGAAAACUGAGCACGGAUUGAGGCUGUCCUUUCUGCUUCCACUCCAUCUCACCCUUCAAAAGCACCGCUGCCCCGCUAGACCUGAGAGCAGCAGCUCCCAGCUCUUCUUGGUGUGAAUGCCACGGAAACACUAAGGAUUUCUUAGUGCUAAUUUACUGCAGAUGUUAGUAUGAGCCCCAAGUCCUGACCCCAGUCACCCAGUCAUCCUUCCUCAGGCAAAUCUGUGUCCCGCUGAUAACCCCACACCCAGCACCUACUUCAAGGCAGGCAUGAGAUUCUAAGUUCAAUUCCCAAUACCCACCACACACGCGCGCGCACACACACACACAACUGUUGGUUCUCUGAAACAAUUUUUUCAAUGAUACAAAGAAAAAAGUAGACUAAGUGGUUUUGUUGUUAUUGCUUUUAAGACAAAACUUAAAACUACUGAAUGUAAGCCCAUGUGAAAAGAACCACAGACAAUAAAGACAUAUCACACCUGA
rnacentral:lncRNA from 1 species